CUCGUCUCAGGGUCGCAUCUUGAGAGUUCCCAGUCCUCUACGAGUCUCGGCUACGGGAGGGAGAGUUAAGCAGAGGCCUGUCCAUUCCAUUCCCAGCUUGGCCAGAGGCUAGCGAGGGGAAGACAAUCUGCUACAAGU